GAUGAAGAACGUAGCGAAAUGCGAUAAGUAAUGUGAAUUGCAGAAUUCAGUGAAUCAUCGAAUCUUUGAACGCACAUUGCGCCCGCCAGUAUUCUGGCGAGCAUGCCUGUUCGAGCGUCAUUUCAACCAUCAAGCCCCAGGCUUGUGUUGGAGCCCUGCGGCUGCCGCAGCCUCCCAAAACCAGUGGCGGGCUCGCUAUCACACCGAGUGCAGUAGUUUACUCUUCGCUCAGGGCGUGUGGCGGGUGCUAGCCGUGAAACCCCCAUCUUCUCAAGGUUGACCUCGGAUCAGGUAGGAAUACCCGCUGAACUUAAGCAUAUCAAUAAGCGGAGGA
rnacentral:misc_RNA from 1 species